GACGAACGCUGGCGGCGUGCUUAACACAUGCAAGUCGAACGGAAAGGCCCUGCUUUUGUGGGGUGCUCGAGUGGCGAACGGGUGAGUAACACGUGAGUAACCUGCCCUUGACUUUGGGAUAACUUCAGGAAACUGGGGCUAAUACCUGAUAGGAGCUCCUGCUGCAUGGUGGGGGUUGGAAAGUUUCGGCGGUUGGGGAUGGACUCGCGGCUUAUCAGCUUGUUGGUGGGGUAGUGGCUUACCAAGGCUUUGACGGGUAGCCGGCCUGAGAGGGUGACCGGGCACAAUGGGACUGAGAGACGGACCAGACGGCUACGGGAGGCAGCAGGGGGGAAUAUUGCACAAUGGGCGGAAGCCUGAUGCAGCAACGCCGCGUGCGGGAUGACGGCCUUCGGGGUGUAAACCGCUGUCGCCUGUGACGAAGCGUGAGUGACGGUAAUGGGUAAAGAAGCACCGGCUAACUACGUG
rnacentral:rRNA from 1 species